CAAUUGCUCGAGGAGCUGAAUUGAGGCGUGAUUUGAGUUUCGCGGACGAAACUCUUUUUAAGGGGUGGAGAAUGUAAUAUACCAGAUUUUGGUAUAAAAAUAAAAGUAAAUAAAAAUAGUGUGAGAUACUAUUUUUAUUUGGUUUUUGAGAAACAAAGUAUAAGUCUAUAAUGACUUGUGCUGAAAUCGGAAUGAAAACAGAAGAUUUAUAAUUUUCUGUUGAAAACGAGACAGAUAAAUUAGCAAAAAAUAUAGAGUCUCAGAAAGUUAUGAAAAUUGGAGGAUAAGUCAGAAAUAUUUUUAUGAGGCUAGAUUUAAAGUUUCAUAUUUUUCUGACACCCGAAAGUUGAGAAAUAAAAUCCGAAAUCUAUCUGAUAAAGAUUACAGUUCGGUACAGUUUUCGGUGACCAAACGGGGUUGAAACUGAAAACUUAAAGUAUAUUCUUGUUCGGUACGUUAAACCGAAUAUGACUGUCAAAUUUGAGCUCAAACGGAUACUCUGAGAGCUCCGGCGAAAGAUAUCAGAUUUUAAGUUGCCUGGAGUGAAUAGUGUUUUUGGAAGCUUCAUAGAAAACUUGGAGAGCAAGUUU
rnacentral:lncRNA from 1 species